AGUUUUGUGGAUUAGUUAGUUAAAGCGCCAGAUUAGUGAUACGGAGUCGUGGGUUUGAAUCCUACCAAAACAA
rnacentral:tRNA from 1 species